GAGGUUAGAGGUCACAAUAAAUCCAGGAGCUCAGAGACAGAAGUGGAGUCAUUACAUCUCAUGUGUUCAGGAAGCUGCCCAACUCAAAAACUGAUGUGCCCACCAAAUUUCAGGCAGUUUAUAAAUCUGGACACGACCCUGCCUCUCACUUACAAAGACUUGCAGGUUAGAUGAACUCACCCACCGCUUCUUACCCAAUGACUUAACCCUAACUCCAUCGCUCACCCAAUGACUUAACCCUAACUCCAGCUCUCAUCCAAUGACUUAACCCUAACUCCAUCUCUUACCCAAUGACUUAACCCUAACUCCAUCUCUCACCCAAUGACUUAACCCUAACUCCAGCUCUCAUCCAAUGACUUAACCCUAACCCUGCUUCUCACCCAGUUGCCUAACUCUAACCCCGCCUCUCACCUAAUGACCUAACCCUAAUCCUGCUUCUCACCUAAUCCUGCUUCUCACCUAAUGACCUAACCCUAACACUGCUUCUCACCCAAUGGCCUAACCCUGAGUCCGCCUCUUACCCAGUGACUGCUGGGAUUGGCUCCACCUGCAUGACCCUUUAACUGAUUCAGGAAAUAGAUGGAUUCUGCAGUAAAAAGAUACAACAGUGUCACCUUUUAUGGAGGAAAUCUGGAGAAAUCAUCCACUUGACAAAU